AUUGAACGCUGGCGGCAGGCCUAACACAUGCAAGUCGAGCGGAUGAAGGGAGCUUGCUCCUGGAUUCAGCGGCGGACGGGUGAGUAAUGCCUAUGAAUCUGCCUGCUAGAGGGGGAUAACAUCCGGAAACGGGCGCUGAUACCGCCUACGUCCAGAGGGAGCAAGAUGGGGAUCUUCGGACCUCACGCUAUCAGAUGAGCCUAGGUCGGAUUAGCUAGUUGGGGGGGUAAAGGCCUACCAAGGCGACGAUCCGUAACUGGUCUGAGAGGAGGAUCAGUCACACUGGAACUGAGACACGGUCCAGACUCCUACGGGAGGCAGCAGUGGGGAAUAUUGGACAAUGGGCGAAAGCCUGAUCCAGCCAUGCCGCGUGUGUGAAGAAGGUCUUCGGAUUGUAAAGCACGUUAAGUUGGGAGGAAGGGCAGUAAGUUAAUAGCGUGCUGUUUUGACGUUACCAACAGAAUAAGCACCGGCUAACUUCGUG
rnacentral:rRNA from 1 species